rnacentral:rRNA from 1 species
GACAGAGGUGCCGAGCGUUAGGCGGAAUCACUGGGCUUAAAGCGUGUGUAGGCGGGCCGUUAAGUGUCUUGUGAAAUCCCCCGGCUCAACCGGGGAAUUGCUGGGCAUACUGGCGGUCUUGAGCGAUCUAGGGGCAGAUGGAACAAGUGGUGGAGCGGUGAAAUGCGUAGAUAUCACUUGAACGCCAAAGGUGAAGACAGUCUGCUGGGGAUCUGCUGACGCUGAGACACGAAAGCCAGGGGAGCGAACGGG